GAUGCGAAAAAUGUGUUCAGAUGCACAGCACAGAUUUUGUGUUGUCAACAUUCAUCGCUAUCCUGUCACGUGAUCUCAGGACGGCGUCGAUUUGUCUGUUAUGCUCCUUAUAAAUUUUGAAUGUCCAAUUUGCAUUUGUUACCUGGAGUAAAUUGGACUCUUAUUUUUGAACUAAGAAGUGGUAUUUCGCGUUUUACGAUAAGUUCACAGUUCAGAGUCCCUAUUUUGUUUAUAGGACAACCACAGUUAUUUUUGGUUUUUAUAUGAUACUUCACUGUAUGGCCGAAUCUGUUCUAAUACGUUCUUCUGUGAUAGCAUUGCAAAACUACUUGAUAUUAAGCCAGUGCCUUUGAAAGUGUCUCGAAAGACAUCGAAUUUGCCGCACAUUAGCGAAGAUACAACCUAUUUCUACUGGUAACACUCUGAAGCAGUUGCCAAACAGCGCAGUGAAGAUUUAAGCAGUCAUGGAGAAGAAAAGAAAGAAGUGACUGAAGUAAAAGAUAAUGAAAUGUUAACAAUGGUGUCACAUUUCUAUGAUUCAAUAAAAUCUCUGACUGAUUUUCAUUCUCAGUAUCCACAGUUGACCACUUUGUACAUUACUGGGAUACCCCUUGAUUCCCUGAAUGGAGUGCAACAUUUACGACAUCUUACGCAGUUGUUUGCUAUGAAAUGUAAACUGCGAGUAAGCUUGCUUUCCUUUUACCAUAUUAAUGUUUCAGCACAUGGUGUUUGAGUCAGUACUAGGUUGAGCAUUACUUAAUUUAGAAAUCACUUCAGAUGACAUUAUGGAGAAGUUUACAAUUUUAAAUUAUGUUAUGUAUUCAGCAAUAGCACAGUUAAUAUUGGUUAUUGACUAUUGUCUGCUUAAUGUUAAUGUUUGUUCACAAGUGGCCCAGUAGUAGAACAUGUAUCUGAAUUCCAUCUGCACUCAGUUUAUGAAAAGUGGCCCCACUACGUUGUGAGAUAAGCAUGUAUGAAGACAGAAAAUUGACUGUGCUACUCGUAAGCAGUAAGUGAAGCAUUCCCAUCAAGAAACUCUCCAGUGGUGAUCCACAAUGAACAGCAGCAUUUAGGACAGCUUAAUAAGUCUACUUUGAUGAACUGUGCUCACUUUGACAUGGAAACCAUUCUACGAUUGCUGCCCUUAUGGGUAACUGGUCCAAAAAGGUCUCUCUUUCAUGGGUCUUCCAUACAGUAUUUUUCACUACACAGAUCUGUCUAUGUUAUAUGCAAAAUGUAAAAGUUGUAUGCUUCAGUGCCAUGCUG